UUUUCUUUUUUUCUCUGGAUGCUAAGUUCUUCUCUCCUACUCUUCUCUCUUCCUUUUCCUCAUUACCGCAGAUACUCAUCGUGGGGCCUGUAGAAUCUUUCUUUUCACUCAUGGCCUUUUUUCUCUUGAUUUUUGUAUUCCCACUACUUGAAUCCCUAAAUUUUUUCUGCAACUUUAUUUGAUCUUCAUAAACUUCAAUAGGAGAUAAUGGAGCUAAGG
rnacentral:lncRNA from 1 species